CCUACGGGAGGCAGCAGUGGGGAAUUUUGGACAAUGGGCGCAAGCCUGAUCCAGCCAUGCCGCGUGUGGGAAGAAGGCCUUCGGGUUGUAAACCACUUUUGUCAGGGAAGAAACGGCUUUUUCUAAUACAGAGAGCUAAUGACGGUACCUGAAGAAUAAGCACCGGCUAACUACGUGCCAGCAGCCGCGGUAAUACGUAGGGUGCAAGCGUUAAUCGGAAUUACUGGGCGUAAAGCGUGCGCAGGCGGCUUUGCAAGACAGAUGUGAAAUCCCCGGGCUCAACCUGGGAACUGCAUUUGUGACUGCAUGGCUAGAGUACGGUAGAGGGGGAUGGAAUUCCGCGUGUAGCAGUGAAAUGCGUAGAUAUGCGGAGGAACACCGAUGGCGAAGGCAAUCCCCUGGACCUGUACUGACGCUCAUGCACGAAAGCGUGGGGAGCAAACAGGAUUAGAUACCCUGGUAGUCCACGCCCUAAACGAUGUCAACUGGUUGUUGGACGGCUUGCUGUUCAGUAACGAAGCUAACGCGUGAAGUUGACCGCCUGGGGAGUCGGCCGCAAGGUUGAAACUUAAAUGAAUUGACGGCUGAGAGAGCGAGACGACGACGAGGGAGGAGG
rnacentral:rRNA from 1 species